rnacentral:rRNA from 1 species
AGCGAACGCUGGCGGCAGGCCUAACACAUGCAAGUCGAACGAACUCUUCGGAGUUAGUGGCGGACGGGUGAGUAACACGUGGGAACGUGCCUUUAGGUUCGGAAUAACUCAGGGAAACUUGUGCUAAUACCGAAUGUGCCCUUCGGGGGAAAGAUUUAUCGCCUUUAGAGCGGCCCGCGUCUGAUUAGCUAGUUGGUGGGGUAAUGGCCCACCAAGGCUACGAUCAGUAGCUGGUCUGAGAGGAUGACCAGCCACAUUGGGACUGAGACACGGCCCAAACUCCUACGGGAGGCAGCAGUGGGGAAUCUUGCGCAAUGGGCGAAAGCCUGACGCAGCCAUGCCGCGUGUAUGAUGAAGGUCUUAGGAUUGUAAAAUACUUUCACCGGUGAAGAUAAUGACUGUAGCCGGAGAAGAAGCCCCGGCUAACUUCGUGCCAGCCGCCGCGGUAACAC